AACUUUAUAGUCAUGAAAUGAUAUUAGACUGCAAUUCUGAAGGAGUAGAAAACUACUAAGGUUU
rnacentral:tRNA from 1 species